rnacentral:rRNA from 1 species
AGAGUUGAUCAUGGCUCAGAAUCAACGCUGGCGGCGUGCCUCAGACAUGCAAGUCGAACGCGAAAGACCCCUUCGGGGGUUGAGUAGAGUGGCGCACGGGUGAGUAACACGUGAGUAAUUUACCUUCUCGGUGGGGAAUAACAACCGGAAACGGUUGCUAAUACCGCAUAAUGCAGCGGCAUCUUCGGAUGACAGUUGUUAAAGCGGGGGAUCGGAGCAAUCCGACCUCGUGCCGGAAGAGAAGCUCGCGGCAGAUUAGGUAGUUGGUAGGGUAACGGCCUACCAAGCCUGCGAUCUGUAGCCGGCCUGAGAGGGCGGUCGGCCACACUGACACUGAACAUACGGGUCAGACUCCUACGGGAGGCAGCAGUCGGGAAUUUUGGGCAAUGGGCGCAAGCCUGACCCAGCAACGCCGCGUGAAGGACGAAGUUUUUCGGAAUGUAAACUUCACAAGACGGGGAAGAAUAAGUUAAGGCGAAUAACCUUAACGAUGACGGUACCCGUAGUAAGCUCCGGCUAACUCCGUGCCAGCAGCCGCGGUAAUACGGGGGGAGCAAGCGUUGUUCGGAUUUACUGGGCGUAAAGGGCGCGUAGGCGGUCAUUCAGUCACUUGUGAAUCUCCGGGCUCAACCCGGAGCGGCCAGUGAUACUGGCGACUAGAGUGCGGAAGGGGCACGGGAAUCUCGGUGUAGCGGUGAAAUGCGUAGAUAUCGAGAGGAAACAACUUGCGGACGCAAGGCGGG